GAUGAACGCUGGCGGCGUGCCUAAUACAUGCAAGUCGAGCGAACAGACGAGGAGCUUGCUCCUCUGACGUUAGCGGCGGACGGGUGAGUAACACGUGGAUAACCUACCUAUAAGACUGGGAUAACUUCGGGAAACCGGAGCUAAUACCGGAUAACAUGUUGAACCGCAUGGUUCAACACUGAAAGACGGUUUUGCUGUCACUUAUAGAUGGAUCCGCGUCGCAUUAGCUAGUUGGUAAGGUAACGGCUUACCAAGGCAACGAUGCGUAGCCGACCUGAGAGGGUGAUCGGCCACACUGGAACUGAGACACGGUCCAGACUCCUACGGGAGGCAGCAGUAGGGAAUCUUCCGCAAUGGGCGAAAGCCUGACGGAGCAACGCCGCGUGAGUGAAGAAGGUCUUCGGAUCGUAAAACUCUGUUAUUAGGGAAGAACAAAUGUGUAAGUAACUAUGCACGUCUUGACGGUACCUAAUCAGAAAGCCACGGCUAACUACGUG
rnacentral:rRNA from 1 species